rnacentral:rRNA from 1 species
UGGGGAAUAUUGCACAAUGGGCGCAAGCCUGAUGCAGCCAUGCCGCGUGUAUGAAGAAGGCCUUCGGGUUGUAAAGUACUUUCAGCGGGGAGGAAGGCGAUAAGGUUAAUAACCUUGUCAAUUGACGUUACCCGCAGAAGAAGCACCGGCUAACUCCGUGCCAGCAGCCGCGGUAAUACGGAGGGUGCAAGCGUUAAUCGGAAUUACUGGGCGUAAAGCGCACGCAGGCGGUCUGUCAAGUCGGAUGUGAAAUCCCCGGGCUCAACCUGGGAACUGCAUUCGAAACUGGCAGGCUAGAGUCUUGUAGAGGGGGGUAGAAUUCCAGGUGUAGCGGUGAAAUGCGUAGAGAUCUGGAGGAAUACCGGUGGCGAAGGCGGCCCCCUGGACAAAGACUGACGCUCAGGUGCGAAAGCGUGGGGAGCAAACA